rnacentral:rRNA from 1 species
GAUGAACGCUGGCGGCGUGCUUAACACAUGCAAGUCGAACGAGAGAAGAUCGGUGCUUGCACUGAUCCGAUCGAGUGGCGGACGGGUGAGUAACGCGUGGGUAACCUGCCUCAUACAGGGGAAUAACAGUUGGAAACGGCUGCUAAAACCGCAUAAGCGCACAGUAUCGCAUGAUACAGUGUGAAAAACUCCGGUGGUAUGAGAUGGACCCGCGUCUGAUUAGCUAGUUGGUGAGGUAACGGCCCACCAAGGACACGAUCAGUAGCCGGCCUGAGAGGGUGAACGGCCACAUUGGGACUGAGACACGGCCCAAACUCCUACGGGAGGCAGCAGUGGUGAAUAUUGCACAAUGGGGGAAACCCUGAUGCAGCGACGCCGCGUGAGUGAUGAAGUAUUUCGGUAUGUAAAGCUCUAUCAGCAGGGAAGAUAAUGACGGUACCUGACUAAGAAGCACCGGCUAAAUACGUGCCAGCCGCCGCGGUAA